AAGGAAUAUUGGACAAUGGUCGCAAGACUGAUCCAGCCAUGCCGCGUGCAGGAAGACGGCCCUAUGGGUUGUAAACUGCUUUUGUACCAGAGAAAACCUAUCUACGUGUAGAUAGCUGAUAGUAUGGUAAGAAUAAGCAUCGGCUAACUUCGUGCCAGCAGCCGCGGUAAGACGAAGGAUGCAAGCGUUAUCCGGAUUCAUUGGGUUUAAAGGGUGCGUAGGCGGGCUUGUAAGUCAGUGGUGAAAUCUCUCAGCUUAACUGAGAAACUGCCAUUGAUACUGCAGGCCUAGAGUAUAGAUGACGUUGGCGCAAUAUGACAUGUAGUGGUGAAAUACUUAGAUAUGUCAUAGAACACCGAUUGCGAAGGCAGCUAACGAAACUAUAACUGACGCUGAGGCACGAAAGUGCGGGGAUCAAACA
rnacentral:rRNA from 1 species